CACACAUUGUGUAUACCUUUUGCACCUGCAUUUGGGCAACUGGUGUUUACAAUGUGUGUGACUGAGGGGUAAUAACAUGCACAGAUGAAAUACUCAGUCCAGCCACUGCAUUUGUCAGCUGGAAAGAGGGUGCUACGAAUUGAGGUUGUAGGAGUACUUGGAUAUUUGGUACAUUCAGGGAAGAUAAUGUGCUGGUAGGACAUGAUGUUG
rnacentral:misc_RNA from 1 species